rnacentral:tmRNA from 1 species
CACGAAGCUAACAAGGGCGUCGGGAUGUGGGAUAGCCACUGAAAUGCAGCUCGCGCUUUCGGUGGCGAACAUGAGGCGAGCUAGCUUCUGACGUAUCCGGCGGGCAGGGAGACGUCAGAGGCGAACAUGAGAUCUGCCGCUAAGCAUGUAGAAGCUUAAGUGGAAUGCCUCCGGACGUGGGUUCGACUCCCACCGCCUCCACCA